UACGUAGGGUGCAAGCGUUGUCCGGAAUCAUUUGGGCGUAAAGCGCGCGUAGGUGGCCAUUUAAGUCCGCUGUGAAAGUCAAAGGCUCAACCUUUGAAAGCCGGUGGAUACUGGAUGGCUAGAGUACGGAAGAGGCGAGUGGAAUUCCUGUGUAGCGGUGGAAUGCGCAGAUAUCAGGAGGAACACCAUAGCGAAGGCAGCUCGCUGGGACGUACUGACAC
rnacentral:rRNA from 1 species